rnacentral:rRNA from 1 species
AUUGAACGCUGGCGGCAUGCUUUACACAUGCAAGUCGAACGGUAACAGCACUUCGGUGGCUGACGAGUGGCGAACGGGUGAGUAAUACAUCGGAACGUGCCUAGUAGUGGGGGAUAACUACUCGAAAGAGUAGCUAAUACCGCAUGAGAUCUAAGGAUGAAAGCAGGGGACCUUCGGGCCUUGCGCUACUAGAGCGGCUGAUGGCAGAUUAGGUAGUUGGUGGGAUAAAAGCUUACCAAGCCGACGAUCUGUAGCUGGUCUGAGAGGACGACCAGCCACACUGGGACUGAGACACGGCCCAGACUCCUACGGGAGGCAGCAGUGGGGAAUUUUGGACAAUGGGCGCAAGCCUGAUCCAGCAAUGCCGCGUGCAGGAUGAGGGCCUUCGGGUUGUAAACUGCUUUUGUACGGAACGAAAAGCCCUCUUCUAAUACAGGAGGGCCAUGACGGUACCGUAAGAAUAAGCACCGGCUAACUACGUG